rnacentral:rRNA from 1 species
ACGAGCAUACUCUCGGGAAACUGAGGCUAAUACUCGAUACCGUUCCGCUGCUGGAACUGCACGGAAUCGGAAACGCUCCGGCGCCAGAGGCUGUGGCUGCGGCCGAUUAGGUAGACGGUGGGGUAACGGCCCACCGUGCCAGUAAUCGGUACGGGUUGUGAGAGCAAGAGCCCGGAGACGGUACCUGAGACAAGAUACCGGGCCCUACGGGGCGCAGCAGGCGCGAAACCUUUACACUGCACGCCAGUGCGAUAAGGGGAUCCCCAGUGCGAGGGCAUAUAGUCCUCGCUUUUCACCACCGUAGGGAGGUGGUGGAACAAGAGCUGGGCAAGACCGGUGCCAGCCGCCGCGGUAAUACCGGCAGCUCAAGUGAUGGCCGCGAUUAUUGGGCCUAAAGCGUCCGUAGCCCGCCAGGUAAGUUUAUCGGGAAAUCUACACGCUCAACGUGUAGGCGGCCGGUGAAACCUGCCUGGCUUGGGACUGGACGGCUCGAGGGGUACGACCGGGGUAGGAGUGAAAUCCUAUAAUCCUGGUCGGACCACCGGUGGCGAAAGCGCCUCGAGAGGACAGAUCCGACGGUGAGGGACGAAAGCCAAGGUCACGAACCGGAUUAGAUACCCGGGUAGUCUUGGCCGUAAACGAUGCCCGUUAGGUGUGGCGCAGGCUACGAGCCUGCGCUGUGCCGCAGUGAAGACGAUAAACGGGCCGCCUGGGAAGUACGUCCGCAAGGAUGAAACUUAAAGGAAUUGGC